ensembl:miRNA gga-mir-7464 gga-mir-7464
CAAUGGCUCAGUGCAGUGCCGUUCUGGUGACCAAUGGCACUGCACUGAGUCAUUGGC